GAAGCUCGCCAGGCCGUCGCUGGUGCAAUUUGGGAAACCAAGCACUGGAGGAACGUCCGGACUGCAUAGGACAGCGUAGCAGCUAACGGCUGCCCACUGAAAGUCGCAAGACAUAAGGUGAGGAUCAGAGCAACAGAGACGAGCCGAUUCAGUUCGGGUGAAACGGGCAAUCUCUACGCGCAGCAAUACCAAAUAGGCCAGCGUUGAUGUGGUUCCGCAGAGUUGGCGGGUAGGUAGCACCGAGCCUUGGGGUGACCCAGGGCCCAGAUGAAUGACGGUCACGGGGUGGUUUUCGCAAGAAAACCGCUCUGCACAAAAUCCGGCGUAUCGGCGAGCUUCACAC
rnacentral:RNase_P_RNA from 1 species